rnacentral:lncRNA from 1 species
UCCAAUCCCAUAAAAAUAUGACAACAUCUAAUAGGAAUACAAUUGUUCCCUGACAAAAGCAACAAAGUUCGAAUCCAAACCACCCUUCUACUCACACGGUCAAGCAAAUAAACUUAGAAGUGCGAAAUAAACACAUAUUAGUACAAACAAAAAGACUGAUUUUAUUUUGUGGGCUUUACUCGUUCCAAGAUUGCCAAUAUAGUUUGCGUAAGAGUGAGUACCACCACAAUAAAAGCAGCAACAGUCGCAGUUCCUCUCCAAAGAUUGUUGAAGUAGACAUGCUUCAAGGCUGCCCAUCUAUGAUUCCAAGAAUUAUCAUUGUACUGGUUUAGAUCACGUCCGAUUUUGCCAUAGAGCGUAGUUGAAUGUACAAUUCCCACUGCAAGAUUGUUAAUCAUAUCCGCCACAGCUGCACUGCUACCCAAUCUAUUGACAAUAAUUCUUUCCUUUACCAGUAAAUCUACAUCUUCACUAGUGUCAACAAGAGAGUCUAGUAAUUGAAUAUAACUACAAAAGUGAGCCUUAUAUGGAUAGUGACAUUGUUCGAAAGCCAUCAGAUUUCUGAAACGAGUCUCACUUUCAUACGCUACAUCAAUAGCUGGGAGUUUUAGCUCUCCCUUCUCAAAGUCUACGUCAAGCAAGCUGUUUAUAGUAUUAUUAAUUGUACUCCUACCAAUCUUAAAUAUACCACUUUUAACACCAGUAAACUUCACACCAGCCUCAUGCAACAUCGAUGCAUUGUAGAUAUUGUGGAUUCUCGACCGAUCAAUGUUUCGCGGACGAUUACUCACUACUUGGUAUCUAAUUAAAUCCGUAAAAUGUUUAAUCUCUUUUUCUUUCAAUGAUCGAUCAGUAUGGAUAUCGAAGUACCAACAAGCAAGUUCGAGAAAAGAGAUACCAGAGUUAGGAAAUGCUAGGUUAUAUAGUUCUUUAAGGACAAACAACGGGAGUUGAUUUUCAAGUAACAUCAAAUCUGUUGGAAGUUCGACACUUAACAAUGCUUUGCGGCUUAAGAAGUCAUCGUCGGAAUAAUUUUCACUUUCCCUCAAGAAGAGCUCAAUUAUAAAAACUGCAUCAUGUAAUAUUAUCUUCUUAAACUUGGGAGCCUCUAACAAAAGAAUACACUGGAUUUCAUAACACCUACAUAUACCUUCUGCAUGAUCUUCGAUGUAGCUCUCAAAUUGUUUCAAUGUCUUCUCACAAGUCCUUUCUGAAAAUUUCUUGUAAUAUCUCAGCUUUUGCCGUUCCAUUGUAGCCAAAUUUUCGUUACCAUGAUGAAGAGGCCCUAUUGAAAUCAACUGAGGAAUGUAGGCUUUUUGGUUUGCUUCACGAAAACGACUAGGGACCUUGUAAAUACAACACUCAGGCGCAAGCUCUAAGACUUCUACAGGGAUUUCAAUUACCGAAUCUUGGGGUUGGUGGUUGUUUUCAAUUAGUGGAUCACUUUCUUGGUCGGUGUUUGCCAUCUUUGCAACUUCCUUCUCAUGUAAAAACAAACCACAAUUCUCACUAGUGAGCAAUAGCAACAGAAUUAAUCAGGUCAAGCCCCAACUUUCGUUUUCGGGCGCUUAUAAGGGUUCAACUUUAGAUUUACCACAAAAACUUAAGAUCAAAUCUAGAUGAAAUACUUUAUUUCAUCAAAAGUGAAGCAAUUUGCUAAAGAUAAUAAAUAAAUAAAUAAAUAAUCAAUACCCUCUAAAUUAAGAAUAGAAGUACGUACCUCUGAUGAUGCAGAGGACAAGGAUCAAACCAGAAGAAAUAGCUCAAGGUUCAAAGUGCAAAAUGAACCCACUUAGUUGCAAGUACAACUGGAUCUAGCAAGUCUUGGCGUUUCAGUUUUAUACAGCAGAGAGUAAUGAACAAGCUACUUGAUUGUUCAGAGUAACUCACCUUUACCAGCAGAAUCAAUUCCCCACCAUCAUGAUUUGUCUCUUCCUGCUUCACACUUUCACUGACUUGGCAAUUUAACCCCGCUUCUUAUCUUCUUCCCAACCCAACUAAAUGAGGGUGGUACGUAGAGCUGUCCACGGGCCAAGUUACCAGCCCAGUUCGCAGGCCUCACGUGAUUUCAGUCGGGUUUGGAUAUGAUUUUUUAAAUUUGGAUCCAAUUCAGUUCGAUUCAAAAAUAUUAUUUUAUUAUUUAACUUAAAUUUAAAAAUAUAUUUUACAAUAUUAAUAUAAAAAUUAAUUUUUUUAAUAUUUAGUAAUCAAUAUAACUUAAAUAGAUGGAUAAGUCUAUGUUUUCAAGGAGUCUAUCGGAUCCGAUCACCUCUAGCGGUUGAUAAUUUAUAUUUUUAUUCUUACUUUUAAUUGUGAAAAUUUUUUUAUUUAUUUUAAAAGAUCAAAGAUGGGAAAAAAUAUCUUGAUUUUUUUAUUUAUUUUAGUAUUUUUUGUAAAACUUUUUUAAUUGUCUUAAAUUAGACGUUCAAUGAAAUGAAUAAUUAAUAAGAAAAGUUGUGGCUUUUGAAUAAAAAAAAUAAGAGUGAUAUUCGGAAGGUAAAGGAACAAAGUCCAUUNAAUAAAUAAAUAAAUAAAAUCAAUACCCUCUAAAUUAAGAAUAGAAGUACGUACCUCUGAUGAUGCAGAGGACGAGGAUCAAACCAGAAGAAAUAGCUCAAGGUUCAAAGUGCAAAAUGAACCCACUUAGUUGCAAGUACAACUGGAUCUAGCAAGUCUUGGCGUUUCAGUUUUAUACAGCAGAGAGUAAUGAACAAGCUACUUGAUUGUUCAGAGUAACUCACCUUUACCAGCAGAAUCAAUUCCCCACCAUCAUGAUUUGUCUCUUCCUGCUUCACACUUUCACUGACUUGGCAAUUUAACCCCGCUUCUUAUCUUCUUCCCAACCCAACUAAAUGAGGGUGGUACGUAGAGCUGUCCACGGGCCAAGUUACCAGCCCAGUUCGCAGGCCUCACGUGAUUUCAGUCGGGUUUGGAUAUGAUUUUUUAAAUUUGGAUCCAAUUCAGUUCGAUUCAAAAAUAUUAUUUUAUUAUUUAACUUAAAUUUAAAAAUAUAUUUUACAAUAUUAAUAUAAAAAUUAAUUUUUUUAAUAUUUAGUAAUCAAUAUAACUUAAAUAGAUGGAUAAGUCUAUGUUUUCAAGGAGUCUAUCGGAUCCGAUCACCUCUAGCGGUUGAUAAUUUAUAUUUUUAUUCUUACUUUUAAUUGUGAAAAUUUUUUUAUUUAUUUUAAAAGAUCAAAGAUGGGAAAAAAUAUCUUGAUUUUUUUAUUUAUUUUAGUAUUUUUUGUAAAACUUUUUUAAUUGUCUUAAAUUAGACGUUCAAUGAAAUGAAUAAUUAAUAAGAAAAGUUGUGGCUUUUGAAUAAAAAAAAUAAGAGUGAUAGUCGGAAGGUAAAGGAACAAAGUCCAUUCAAGAAAAAUAUGAAAAAAAAAAUCUAAUAAACACAAUUAUUCAUUGAUAGUAGCAAUACCAAUACAUGAUAAAAGCAACAAAAUUUGAAACCAAAUUCUCCUUCUACUUAAAGUGGAAAGAUAAAUAAAUAAAAGUGCGAAACAAAUACGAAUUAACACACAUAAAAAGAUGAAAUGAAAACCUACAAUUAAGGAACGAAUUUAUUUUACGGGCUUUACUCGAUCCAAGAUUGCCACUAUAGUUUGUAUGAUAGUGAAAAUCCCAAAAUAAAUCGAUGCCACUUUCAAAGGAUUUUCAACAGCAUGGGAUAUUUUUGCUCCAAUCUGGUUAAGAGGAUCUCGAUAAUACUGUUUUAGAUCCUCUCCGAUUGUAUAAUAGCACAAACUUGUAACUCCCACCAUAAGAUUAUUAAUCAUAUUUGCCACAGCUGCACCGCUCCCCAUUCUAUGAGAAAUAAUCCCCAUUUUAAUCAGUAAAUUUACAUCUUCAGCGACAUCAACAAGAGAAUCCAGUAGUUGAAUAUAACCACAAAAAUAGGCCUCACUUGGAUAGUGACAUUGCUCGAAGGCUAUUAGGUUUCUAAAAACAGUCUCAGUUUCAUACUCCACACGAAAAGAUGGGAUUUUUAGCACUCCCUCCUCAAAUUUGACAUUAAGCAAGCAGUCGUCUACAGCUUUAAACCGAACACCAACAGCACGCAACAUCGUUGCACUGUAUCUGUUGUUGGUUUUCUCAACCAAGUUUGAAGGGUGAGUUCUCACUUGAUGGCGUCUAAUCAAAUCUGUGAAGUGUUUAAUCCCCUUUUGGUCUAAUGUUUGGUCUUCAUCGACUUUGAAGUACAGGCGAGCAAGAUGGAGAAAAGAGGGUUUAUCAGAAGUAGCGAAAGCUAGGUUAUAUAGAUCUUCAAGGAGAAAGAACGGGAGUUGAUUUUCAAGUAACAUUAAAUCCGUUUGAAGUUCAACACUUAACCAUUCUCUAUGGAAUAAGAAGUCGUUGACUUCUCUUUCAAAGUUCCUCAAGAAGUACUCAAUGAUAAAAACUGCAUCAUAUAGUAUCAUCUCCGUAAACUUGGAAGCCUCCGACUCAGUCCUAAAGACAAAUUGGACUUGAUAACACUUGCAUAUACGAUUUAAAUGCUCUUGGAUGAAGCUCACAAAUUCUUCCAAUGUCUUCUUGGAAGUCCUUUGACAAAAUUUUUUGUAAUAUCUCUGCUUUUGGGACUCCAUUCGACCCAAAUUUGUCUUACCACGAUGAAGAGGUCCUAUUGAAAUCAAAGUUGGAGUGUAGGCAUUUUCUUUUGCUUCACGAAAACGUCUAGGGACUUUGUAAAUACAACACUCAGGCGCAGGCUCUAAGUCUUCUUCAGGGAUAUCAAUUGCCAAAUCUUGGGGUUGCUGGCUUUUUUCAAUAAAUGGAGCAAUUUCUUGGUCGGUGUUUGCCAUAUUUGCAACUUCCUUCUCAUGUAAACAAACGACAACAUUUCUCACUAGUUAGCAAUAGCAGCAGAAUUAAUCAAGAUUUAACCUUUAUUAAGUCCAACAAAGUGUUCAAACUUUAGAUUUGAGACACUUAUUAAGCCCAAACUUUAGAUUUACUCCAAAAAAAACUUAGGGUCAGAUGUAGAUGAAGCUACUUAAUUUCAUCAAAAGUGAAACAAUUAGCUAAAGAUUAAAGUAAAGAAAAUCAAUACCGACUUAAGAAUUAAGAAUAAAGGUACGUACCUCUGAUGCUGAAGAGAAGGAGGAUCAAACCAAGAGCAACAGCUCGAGGUUCAAAGUGCAAAAUGAACCAACUUAGUUGGAUAACUGAGUACAACCAGAUCCACCAAUUCUUGGCGUUGCAGUUUUGUACGAAUCGAGAGAAAUGAACAAGGUUGUCUCAGAUCUAACAGAGGAAAAUGCCCACCAUAUUUCUUUAAGUCCCAUAUUUCGGUUGCACACGUCUUCGAAUUAAGAGUCAACCCUAAAUUAUUAUUCUUAUUUAGUUUAGAUUGCACAUCUUUCUAUUAAGUCCCAACCUUCGAUUGCACAUGUCCUUUAAUUAACAGUCAAUCCUAAAUUAUUAUUUUUUAGUUUAGAUUGCACAUGUUUCUAUUAAAUCCCAACUUUCGAUUGCACAUCUUCAUUGUUUUUUCUUUUUCUUUUUGUUUGAAGGGCAAAGACUCAUUGAUUAAAGUGACAAAGGCACGUGAUUGGUUAGUUUUGAAUUAUUAUUUUUUUUAUUUUCUGUGUACUCUAAAAGUAUGAUAUGUGUAUUUGCAGAUGGCACAAGGAAUCCAAAUUUCAAAACUUGUGUAGGAUUCCCCUGCUACUGGAAAUACGAUAAAAAAUGUUAAAACCCUUCAUAGCAUGUCACGCAGCAAACUACCUUUGUAUUCUGCAGAUGCUUAAUAGAGUAUGCUGGGUUGCCAUUUUCAUCUGGUUCUUAACUGCAGCCAUUUGGUAAUGGGCAGUCCAGGGACGAUCUACACCAGAAUAUUCCCUGCAAGCUCAGCACAGAGCUACGGACUGCAAGCUCACUAGAAGAUCCAGAAUAGGGUUUGCUUGGUCAGUUCUCCGCCGGGGACCAGCCAAAUGGCAACCGAGGAAUAUGGAGCAGUUCUGAGUUUGCAGCACAUCUCAGUGACAACAAUUAUCUAGUGCAGAAUCUCCCUUGGUCUGACAACAUUACAAUUAAACUUGAUCUGCUGCGAACUGAAAAUUUCACAGCGUUAAAUGCAACAAACACAAUUAAGUACCAAAAACAACAAAAAGGAACCAGAACUGAGCAUGGCACAUGCCAUGUUGUCUUCAAAGAAUGUGUGCUCAUGAAACAUUUUCUAGAUGGUGAGAACCCUGGGGUUACUUUACAUAGCCUUUCGAUUAGGCUGAAGCUUUAAACAGAACAACCCAACAUUUUCUAUAUAACACUGAAUUAGAAAUCAAAACAUAGAAAAACCAUGAAACAGAUUACAGUAAAAAAUAUUCCUGCAGUUCUUUUUGCCUGUCCCUCUCUCCAUGUUCAUCAUGCUUUGAAUGUUGAGGGUAUUUGAUCUAUUUGUCAUACCAAAUUCACAGGCUCUUACUUUGCUGCCAUGAAACAAUCGAAAGGCAACGAAAGACAUGCUCUCACUGAUUUUGUUUUGCUGAGAAUGCUGUGAGAAUGUAUACUUUCCUUUGGUCACGUUAAGCAGUCUCUCCGGAGAAGAAACAACUAAAGUAGCAGUUGCCACCGAGGAAACGAAAACCAAUGAUGUUUUGAAGAUCAAAAACUUUGUUCGUAGCUGCAAUUCCAGAUUCUCACACUCAGGAGAAUAAUUCGAAAGAGAAAAACGUGAAAGACUGAAUUUUAUCUUUCUCAAGAAAAAUGAAUGACAAAGACUGAGAGUACAGUUAAUUGUUUGGUAAUUAUGCAGAUAAAGAUACAGAGCUGAACCACAAAACUCAUUGCAUUAAGGUAAUACAAGGCACUAAAAAGGAAAGAAAAAUGAAAACCCAGAAAGAAAAAAUGGCCUUAAACCAAGGCUGAGACUCUUAUUCAUCCCCCGCCCUUGGACGAAUUCCAAGUCCAGUUCUUGCACCGACUUCCAUUAAAUCUUCCACCUGUUCAAACGACAUUAUAAAACAAGAUUACAAAUGUUGAUGGUGAAAAUUGGAAAACAAAGGAAGCAAUAGUUUGACAUGUUUGCACCAACUUGUGAAUGCCGGAAGCUUUAAGGAAAGCGACGGAUGCGGAGGCAGAGGAGCCGAGGAACAGAGAAGCGACGGCGAAGGCUUUGAAGGGCAUCAAACGAUGAUCACCCGCGUAACCUUCACCAUACGAAGAUAAAGCCUAUCCAAAUUGGGCAACGAUUGCUGUGGCCCAAUACCAGUGGCUUUGGAUGCGGAUCCUAUUUCCAUCACCACCGCCCCCCUCCACCUCCAUGACUCGUAUCUUCCUUCUUCAAGACUUUCACUGACUUCGCAGUUUCCGCCCCUUCUAAGCUGCUGCUCUUCACACUGCUUCCUUGAUUGGGUUAGCGGGCGCCAUGCAAUUUGGACACUUCUUGUUUAUGGGCUAACACUUACCACGUACCAGCUUGACUUAGUAUCAGCCCAGCCCAACCAUUGGUGGGUGGCUGCUAGAACUGUCCACGGAGCGAACCGGCUCGACCCCAUAAUGUUAUUAUAUAAAGAAACAUUAUAUUAUUUUUAAUUUAAUUUUUAAAUAUACUUUAAACUAUUAAUAUAAAAAUAUAUUUUAAUAUUCAAUAAUAAAUAUAAAAUAUAAUAUCUAAAAAAAAUUUUAAAUUAUUGAAAAAAAUUCAAAUAAAUUUUUAUUCUUUUCUUACGUUUAAUUAAAUCUUGAUACUUUUAUUUUGAAUCAAAUAAGCCUUAUGACUAAUGGUUUUCAUAAUUAAAAUGUCACUUUUCACUCUAUACCAUAUGACAUGUUAUAAUUAGUAAUAAAAUAAUAUAUUGAUAUGUCAUAAUUAAUGAUAACGUGAUAUACUAAUAUCACAUAAUUACAUAAUUAUAUGAUAUUUUUUACCUUUCACAUCAAUAUCACGUCAGAUCUAUGUGAGUAUAAAAUAAUAAGUUUCAUUCAAUUAAUAACAAUUAGUCAAUCAUUAUUCAUAAGGACUUAUUUAACUCAAAAUAAAUGUAUAAAGAUUUAUUGAAUGCAAUACAAAAUUAAAGAUUUAUUAAAAUUUCCUUUAAUAAUUUAUAAGUUUUUUUUUAACAUUAUUCCUAAAUAUAACUUAAAUAGGCAAGUUGGCCUUAAAUUUUCAAAGAAUCAAUCAAACUCAAUGAUCUCUUUGAACAACUAUCCAUUUUUAUUUUUUCUUUUAAUCAAGAAAUUUUUUUCCCUUUUUUUAAAAGAUAGAAGUUUGAAAUUUAAUAGUUUGGAUAAAAUUUUUUUAAUUGUUACACAUUUAAUAAAUUUAAGAUUUAUUGCAACAUAAUUACUUUAAAAAAUGGAAUAAUUAGUAAAAAAAAUUGUGACCCUUAAAUAGAGAAGGAAAAUACGGAGAUAGAAUCCUACUACUAGUUAGUAAUAGCGUAAUAAGAAACAAGCCAGUUCCAUAAAAAUAUGAUAAAAAAUCUAAUAGCCACACAAUUGUUCAUUGAUAGUAACAACAUCAAUUCAUGAUAAAAGCAACAAACUUGAAACCAAGCUCUCCUUCUACUUAAAGUGAAAAGGUAAAUAAAUUUAAAAACAUGAAACAAACACAAAUUAACACAAAUCAAAAAACGGAAUUGCAUCUUAAUUGAAUGAAAAAUUGCAAUCUAGUAGGCGUAUUUAUUUUACGGGCUUUACUCGAUCCAAGAUUGCCAAUAUAGUUUGUAUGAUAGUGAAAUACCCCAAAUAAAUCGCUAUCACACUCCCAGGAGUUAUAUAACCGACCGUUCUUGCACGAAGCUGUUUUAUAGGCUUUAGAGAAUACUGCAUUAGAUCCUUUCCGAUUUUGUAGUAGCACAAACUUGUAACUCCCACCAUAAGGUUGUUAAUCAUAUCUGCCACAGCUGCAUUGCUUCCCACUGUAUGAGAAAUAAUCCCUCUUUUUACCAGUAAAUUUACAUCUUCAACAGCAUCAACAAAAGAAUUUAAUAAGUGAAUAUAACCACAAAUAUAAGCUUCCUUUGGAUAAUGACAUUGUUCAAAGACAAUCAGGUUUCUUAAAAAAGUCUCAGUUUCAUACUCCACACGAAGAGAUGGGAUUUGUAGUUCGUUGUCCUCAAAUUUGACGUUAAGCAAGCAGUCUUCUACAGCUUUAAAAUGAACACCAGCAUCACGUAACAUCGUUGCACUGUAUGUGCUGUCAGUUCUCUCAACAAAGUUUGAGGGGCGAGUUCUCACUUGAUAAUAUCUAAUCAAAUCCGUAAAGUGUUUAAUCCCCUUCUCGUCUGAUGCUACAUAUUCAUCGACUUUGAAGUACAAGCAAGCAAGACGGAGAAAAGAGGGUUUAUCAGAGGCAGUCAAAGCCAAGUUAUAUAGAUCUUCGAGGACAAAGAACGGGAGUUGAUUUUCUAGUAACAUCAAAUCCGUUUGAAGUUCAACAUUGAACCAUUCUCUAUGGUUGACUUCAUUUUCAAAGUUUCUCAAGAACAACUCAACGAUAAAGACUGCAUCAUACAGUAUCAUCUUCAUAAACUCGAAAGCCUUUGACUCAGUGGCCAAGGCAAAUUGAACAUCAUAACACCGGCAUAUACGUUUUACUUGCUUUUUGACGUAGCUCUCAAGUUCGUUCAAAGUCUCCUUGGAAAUCCUUUGCAAAAAUUUCUCGUAAUAUCUCUGCUUUUGCCUCUCCAUUCGACCCAAAUUUGUCUUACCAUGAUGAAGAGGCCCUAUUGAAAUCAACUGUGGAGUGUAGGCUUUUCCGUUUGCUGCACGAAAACGACUAGGGACCUGAUAUAUACAACACUCAGGCGCAGGCUCUAAGUCUUCUUCAGGGAUAUCAAUUGCCAAAUCUUGGGGUUGCUGGCUUUUUUCAAUAAGUGGAGCAAUUUCUUGGUCGGUGUUUGCCAUAUUUGCAACUUUUCUUCUCAUGUAAACAAAUGACAAUAUUUCUCAGUAGUUAGCAAUAGCAGCAGAAUUAAUCAAGAUUUAAGCUUUAUUAAGUCCAACAGAGUAUUUCAAACUUUAGAUCUGGGACACUUAUUAAGCCCUAACCUUGGAUUUAUUCCAAAAAAAAUCUUAGGGUCAGAUGUAGAUGAAGCAACUUAAUUUCAUCAAAGGUGAAGCAAUUAGCUAAAGGUAAAAGUAAAGAAAAUUAAUCAAUACUGUCAUAAGAAUAUAAGUACGUACCUCUGAUGCCGGAGAGGAGAAGGAGGAUCAAACCAGGAGAAACAGCUCGAAGUUCAAAGUGCGAAAUGAGCCAACUUAGUUGGAUUAUUGAGUACAACAGGAUAUGGCAAUUCUUGGCGUUGCAGUUUUUUACGAUUCGAGAGUAAUGAACAAGGGUUCUCUCAGAUCCAACAAAGGAAAAUGCCCACCAUGUUUAUUUAAGUCCCAUACUUCGAAUGCACAUGUCUUCUAAUUAAGAGUCAACCCUAAAUUAUUAUUAUUUAGUUUAGAUUGCACAUCAUUCGAUUAAGUCCCAACUUUCGAUUGCACAUCUUCAUUGUUUUGUCUUUAUCGUUUUGUUUGAAGUGACAAAAAAUCAUUGUUUAAGAGGUUGUUUAAAGUGAUUAUUUAGUUUUGAUUUUUUUUUUCAUUUUCUGUGUACUCUAAUAUGAUAUGUGUACGUUCUGCAAGGAGAAUGCUAUUUGCAGAUGGCACAUGGCUCAUGGAAUCCAAAUUCAAAACUUGUGCAGGAUUCCCCGGCUACCGGAAAUAGAAUGAAAUAUGUUAAAACCCUUCAUAACAUGUCAGGCAGCAAACUACCUUUGUAUUCUGCAAAUCCUUAAUGGAGUGUGCUGGGUUGCCAUUUUCAUCUGGUUCUUAACUGCAGCCAUUUGGUAAUGGGUAGUCUAGGGACGAUCUACUCCAGAAUACCCCCUGCAAGUUCAGCAUCAUAUCUACGGACUGCAAGCUCGAGUACUACAAGAUCCAGGACAGGGUUUGCUUGGUCAGUUCUUUGCAGGGAACCAUCUAGAUGGCAACCGAGGAACAUGGAGCCGUUCUGAGUUUACAGGACACCUCAGUGACAACAAUUAUCCGGUUCAGAAUGUCCCUUGGUCUGACAGCAUUAUAAGUAAACUUGAUCAGCUGCGAACUGAAAAUUUCACACAGUUAAAUCCAAUAAACACAAUAACUAUAAAACAGGAACCAAAACUGAGCAUGAUAGUUGCCAUGUUGUCUUCGAAGAAUGUGGGCUCGUGAAACAUUUGCUAGAUGGUGACAACCCUGGGGUACUUAACGUAGCCUUUCGAUUAGGCAAUGAAUAGACUUAAACUUUUCUAGCAUUUAUUCUUAUCACCAUAUGCUCACUGUUCUCUUAACCAUAAAAUAUUAUUUAUUAAAAAGGGUCAAUUUUGCGAGGAAAAUAUUAUUUUUCGGCGCCUCCUCAGUUCACAUUAUGAGGUAGUAUAUUACUAUAUUUCUUUGGUGUAGGUAAAUAUAAGGGUGACUAACAGGCAAUAUUUUUAACAAAUUAAAAACUAAUGAAAAAUGUUUGAAUUUUGAUUUAGAAUUCUUGACAUAAUUCCCUCUUUUCACACCAAAAAAGUCAUUCAUUGAAGAAUGACAAUGUUUCCCAUAGUUUUUCAUUUGUGGACUCACAACAUUUUUUGGAAGUAAUUAAGAGACGUGGAAGAAAUGGAUUCAAGUAGUGCAAAAUUGUCACAGCAUCUAUAUUAACAAAAGUAGGAAAGUAGGGUUGAAAAUCAAUGGCAAUGUGUUUUUAGAGUACUUAACGUAUGAUAAAUGAAUGACAGAGACUAAAGUUCAUCUUUCUUAGGAAAAAUAAACGACUGAGACUGAGAGUAGAGUUAACUACUUGAUAAUUAUGCAGAUAAAGAUGCAGAGCUGAACCACAAAGCUCGUUGCAUUAACGUCAUAUAAGGCACUUAAAAGGAAAGAAAAAUGGCCUUAAACCGAGGCUAAUGAAACUCAUUCAUCCCCUGCUCUGGGACGAAUUCCAAGUCCAGUUCUUGUACAAAUUACACAUUUAAUAAAUUCACAAAUUUAUUUUAAUACUUUAGUUAGAACAAAGGAAAUAAAGAAUAAUUAGUAAAAAAGGUUGUGGCCUUUGAAUAUAAGAAGUAAAAAAGAAAGAGAAUGAGUCAUGGUCUUACUACUGGUUAGUAGUUACAUACAAGGAACAAGCCAAUCCCAUAAAAAUAUGACAAAAUCUAGUAGGCAUACAAUUGUUCAUUGAUAAGGGCAACAAAGCUUGAAACCAAAUUCUCUUUCCACUCAAAGUGGAAGGGCAAGUAAACUUAAAAAGUACAAAACAAACACACAUAAAAAGAUUGAUUUUAUUUGUCAUUGAAUCAAACACUGCAAUCAAGUAAGAGUAUUUAUUUUGUAGGCUUUGCUCUAUCUAAGAUUGCCAAUACGGUUUGUGUGAGAGUGAGUACCACCACGAUGAAAGCAGCAACAGUAGCAGUUCCUCUCCAAAGAGUGUUGAAAUAAACAUGCUUCAAGGAUGCACAUCUACGAUUCCAAGAACUUUUAUAAUGCCGGUUUAGUUUCAAACCGAUUUCACCAUAGAGCAAAGUUGAUUGUACAACUCCCACAGCAAGUUUGUUAAUCAUAGUUGCCACAGCUGCACUGCUACCCAAUUUAUUGACAAUAAUUUGUUCUUUUAUCAGUAAAUCUACAUCUUCCUUAGUGUCAAUAAGAGAGUCUAAUAGUUUAAUAUAACUACAAAAAUAAGUCUUUUUUGGAUAAUAAUAUUGUUCGAAGGCCAUCAAGUUUCUAAAACGAAUCUCAGUUUCGUACUCGACAUCAAUAGUUAACAAUUUUAGUAGACCCUUCUCAAAGUGUACCUGAAGCAAGCUGUACGUAGUAGAUUCGAGCACAUCAUCCUUAACCGUAUCCACAGACUGAAAACCUUCAAACUCAGGCCCAUGAAUCAAAAAACAAUCAUAUGAAACACCAUUAAACAUAACACCAAAAUCAUGACUAACUUCAGUACAUUUAAACUUAACACCAGCCUCAUGCAACUUCGUUGCGUUGUGCAUGUUGUGGUUUCCUACACGCAUGUCAUACGUCAACGGAUAAGCCCUCAGCACCUGAUAUCUAAUCAAAUCUGUAAAGUGUUUAAUCUUCUUUUCCUCGAAUGAUGGAUCUUUUUUGAUACCGAAGUACAAGCAAGCAAGAUCGAGAAAAGAGGUUUUAUCAGAGAUGAAGAAAGCUAGCUUAUAUAGAUCUUCAAGGACGAAGAACGGGAUUUGAUUUUCAAGUAACGUCAAAUCCGUUAGAAGGUUAACUCUUAACAAUGCACUGUUGUUUAAGAAAUUGUAGUAGUCAUCCUCCUUGUCAUCUCUUUGGUUUAAGACGUGGUAGACAUCCUCCUCAUCAUCGUUGCAGUCCUUGUCGGUGGAUUUUUGUUUUUCCGCCCAAUCCCUCAAGAAGAGCGCGAUGAUAAAAACUGCAUCAUUUGAUAUUAUCUCAAUAAGCUGAGAAACCUCCAAGUUACAGAUAAAUUGGACUUCAUAACACCUGCAUAUACGUAUUAAAUGGGAUUUGACGUAUCCAUGAAAUUCUGUCAAUCUCUCCUGAGAAGUGGUUUCCAAAAAUUUCUUGUAACAUCUCUGCUUCUGCAACUCCAUUUGAGUCAAAUUUUUGUCACCAUGAUGAAUAGGCCCUAUUGAAAUCAAGUGAGGAGUGUAGGCUUCUUCGUUUCCUGCACGAAAACGUCUAGGGAUCUUGAAAAUACAACACUCAGGCCCAGGGACAUCAAUUGCCGGAUCUUUGGGUUGGUCGUUGUUUUCAUUUAGUGGAGCAAUUUCUUGGCCGGUGUUUGCUGCCAUAUAUGCACUUCCUUCUCAUGUAAACAAACGACAAUUAACAUCGGUGAGCAAUAGCAAUGGAAUUAAUCAAGCCACACGUUUAGAUUAAAGCCUUAUCAAGCCACAACUUUAGAUUUACCUCAAAAAUACAUAAGGUUAGAUUCAGAUGAAGGAACUUAAUUUCAUCAAAAGUGAAGCAAUUAGCGAAAGAUAAAAAGUAGAUAAAAUCAAAACCCUCAUAAGAAUAGAAAUACAUACCUCUGAUGCUGAAGAAAAGGAUCAAACCAGUAGAAACAGCUCAAGGUUCAAAGUGCGAGAUUAACCAACUUGGUUUUGUUAUUGAAUACAACUGGUUCCUGUAAGUCUUGGCGAAAGUAAUGAGCAAAGUUCUCUCACAUUUAGAGAGGCAAAAUGCCCACCUUGUUUUUAAGGUCCCAUCCUUGGAUUGCACAAGUCGUCUACGAGUCAAUUUUUCGUACAAAAACUAAUUGCUUGUUAGCUGUUAAAACUUAUUUCUUGUAAGCUGUUAGUUGUCAGGUCUGUGGCUUUGGAUGCCGGUCCAAUCUCCAUCCCGGGUCGAUCCCACGCACCCGUGAAUCACAAUCGUCUGUGGGACUCGCUAGACCUGGCUGAGUGAAAGCAUGGGUCCUACCCAAAUUCUAUCUACACUUGUCUCUCCAUGCGAAUUAAUACUAGCCUAACAGGAGGAGUUCCUCCACCCUCGCAUCAUCAAAACAUGUGGAAAAACAAUUUCUCUCAUUCAAUUCCAACCCACUUUUCUGUUUUUUACCAGGGGAGCAGCUGGUUGAUCAUUGCAUAAUUGAAUUACUCCAGGAACUACAUGCCUUAAAUUCAAUGUACAUGGCCACAAAGGCCAAGGGUAAAAGCAUACGCAGCCCCACAUUUGUCAUAUCGAAAUUUUGUAGUGUUUUUCUGAGCUAACAACUCCACAGAGCAGGCUCCCAUUCAACAAAAGAAAAGAUUGUUGAGUCCUAGAUCUCUCAUGUUGAAACUUUGAUUUGUGAUUGCCUCUUCACCAAUUCCAGCCACGUUAAUUUCUAUAUUCGUGGGCCACAUGGAGCUGGGAAAAUUUUUACCGAAAUGUUCAAGGACAAAACAGACCACAAAUGGAGUUAUACCUACUUGAUUGUUCAAAUUAACUCACCUUCUCCAGCAGAAUCAAAACUCCUUCACAAAAUCUUAACUGACAUUUUCUUGAACCGUGGCCCAAACACCACCUGCCAUAUAUGAACCCUUUGCGUAAUGCAAAUGCUAAUUGUUUGAUAUUUGUAGCACUCCCUGUUCAAACUUUACGUACAAAUUACUUACAUCAAAGUUAUCUCUAAUAGUUUCAAACUUAACACCAGCCUCACGCAACAUCAUUGCGCUGUACAUGUUGUUGAUUCUCUCAAUUGAGUUUGAAAGAUAAGUUCUCACUAGAAUGCAUCUAGUUAAAUCCAUAAAGUGUUUAAUUCCCUUUUUGUUGAAUAAAUUAUCUUCGUUCGCGUUGAAGUACAAGCAAGCAAGUAAUACCUCAAAAUAAAUUUGAAUAAAUUUAUUCAAAUUUUGUUGAAUAAAUUCUUUCAAUGUCUCCUCGGAAGUCCUUUCCAAAAAUUUCUUGUAAUACCUCAGCUUUUGCCGUUCCAUUUGAGCCAAUUUUUCAUUCCCAUGAUGAAUAGGUUCUAUUGAAAUCAAUUGAGGAGUGUAGGCUUUGUUGGUUUGCUUCAUGAAAACGACUAGGACCUUUAAAUACAACACUCGGGCACAAGCUCUAAGACUUCACCAGGGAUUUCAAUUUCCAAAUCUUGGGGUUGGUAGUUGUUUUCAAUUAGUGGAGCACUUUUUUAUCGGUGUUCGCCAUAUUUGCAACAUCCUUUUCAUGUAAAACAAACGACAAGACUCACUAGUGAGCAAUAGCAACAAAAUUAAUCAUGCCCCAACUUUGGUUUUGGGAUACUGGCUAAGGUUCAACUUUAGAUUUACCACAAAAACCUGGGAUCAGAUCCAGAUGAAAGAUCUUAAUUGCAUCAAAAGUGAAGCAAUUUGUUAAAGAUAAAAUAAAUAAAUAAAUGAAAUCAAUAGCCUCUAAAUUAAGAAUAGAAGUACGUAGCUCUAAUGCUGCAAAGGAGGAUCAAACCAGAUGAAACAGCAAACAGCUCAAGGUUCAAAGUGCAAAAUGAGCCAACUUAGUUGCAAAGUGUUGAGUACAACUGGAUCCGGUUAGUCUUGGCGUUUCAGUUUUAUACGGCUGGCAGUAAUGAACAACCUUCUCUCAAAGUUAACACAGGAAAAUGACCACCUUAUUUUAAAGACCCAUCCUUUGAUUGCACAAAAUUAUUGCGUUUUCCUUGUCUUUUUUUGCACGUGACAAAAAGUUAUUGCUCUGUCAAUACUUUAUACCGAGAUUUGACAUCACUAGGCACACUUCUCCAGUCAUUUAUUUUUUGAUAAUACUUGGGGGUUAUCAAAAUUGUAACCCACCAACAGGGAAUUAAUACAUAGUCAGAAAUGAAAUCACCAUAUACAAAACAUAUCUCAGAAGUCAGAAAAACAUCACAGCCCCUUCCUUUUCAGCAUCAAAUAGAAAACAGCCCUGCCCCCUCAUCCAAUAAGUACCCAUUCUGUGCAACUCUGGAAGAAGAGCUCAAAUCAUGUGCUCUCAUUCUGCUUUCGUACUCCUGAAAAUACUCACAUGUACAGCAUAUAUUUGUUAAAUCUACAUUGCAUGGUAUAUGUUGUUGUCACCAGUAGAACAGGGAAGAGGCCAUGAAUCCUGCGGAUAAUUGUAUGGAACGUGCAGCGAAGAGGCCAUGGAACAUUAGUCAAUAUUGCAAUUUUGUAGCGUUUUUUCUGAGAUAACCACUCCACAGACUAGGCUCCAACUCAACAAAAGAAAAAAAAUUGCGGAGUCAUAGAUCUCCCAUGUUGGAAUUUUGAUUAGUGAUUUUCUCUUAACCAAUUCAAAACAUGUUAAUUUCUAUAUUUGUUGACCACAUGAGGCUAGGAAAACUUUCACCAAAACGUUCAAGGAAAAAACAGACCAGAAAUGGAAGUUUACCUACUUGAUUGUUCAGAGUGACUCACCUUCCCCAUCAGAAUCAAUUCUCCACCACCAUGAAUUGUCUCUUCCUCCUUCAGACUUUCACUGAUUUCGCAGUUUGCCCCCCUGCUAAGCUGCUGCACUUCGCACUGCUUCCUUGAUUGGGUUGACUAUCGCCAUGCGGAUUAUUAUUUGGACCCUUCUUUUUAAUGGGCUAAAACAUACCAGCUUAAUUCACAUCGGCCAAACCCAACUACAGGAGAGUGGCUGGUGGAUCUCUCCAUGGACCAAGUUAUCAGCAGAAGCCUGCAGGCCUGAUAGGACAGGCGGCCUGGAUAUGAUUUUCUAGGCUCAGGUUCUACAAGGUUUGACCCAAGAAUACUGUUAUUUUUAUUAAUAAAUACUUUAUUUUAUUAUAUUUUAAUUCUAAAAUAUAUUUUCAAAUACUAAUGUAAAAUUAUUUUUUAUAUAUAAUAAUAAAAUAUAUAUAAAAUGGGUGAGUUGGGCUUAAGUUUUCAAGGAAUCAGCCAGACCCAAAUUACCUUUAGUGAUCGGUUGUCUAUUUUUUAUUCUCUCUUGUAAUUAUGAGCCUUGUUUUUAAAGUGAUAUAAGUUUGGAAAAAGCAAUUUGAGAUCUUGAUUUUUUUUGUUUUAAAAUUCUGUGUAAAACUUUUUUAAUUAUUACAAGUUAGAAAUUUGAUGGAUUCUAAAAUUUUAUUUUAAUACGAUUACUUUGGACAAAAGGAGAAUAAUCAAUAAGGAAAGAUGUGGGUUUUGAAUAGAACCAAUCUAAUCUCAUAAAAUUAUGACAUCUAAUAGGAAUACAAUUGUUCCCUGAUAAAAGCAACAAAGGUCGAAACCAAACCACCCUUCUACUCAAACGGUCAAGCAAAUAAACUUAAAACUGCGAAAUAAACACAUAUUAGUACAAAUAAAAAGACUGAUUUUAUUUUGUGGGCUUUACUCGUUCCAAGAUUGCCAAUAUAGCUUGCGUAAGAGUGAGUACCACCACAAUAAAAGCAGCAACAGUCGCAGUUCCUCUCCAAAGAUUGUUGAAGUAGACAUGCUUCAAGGCUGCCCAUCUAUGAUUCCAAGAAUUAUCAUUGUACUGGUUUAGAUCACGUCCGAUUUUGCCAUAGAGCGUAGUUGAAUGUACAAUUCCCACUGCAAGAUUGUUAAUCACAUCCGCCACAGCUGCUCUGCUACCCAAUCUAUUGACAAUAAUUCUUUUCUUUUACCUGUAAAUCUAC